rnacentral:sRNA from 1 species
GGCUGAGGCAACAACGUAGGGUGGCGGCACAAUUUGGCAUUUGCAAGAUUGCAUUCCUUUAUUCCUUCCAAUCAGGUUAAAACAUCAACCUUUUAUGAAACAAAUAUUAUUAUUGACUACAAAUUACUUAAGAACUAUCACACUGAGACAUAUUGGAGCAUUCUGUUAUUGCUGCAAGUAGUCUUGGCAUCGGAGGCACAUCUAGCUCCUAUAGUCCUUCAAGAACCCUAAUAACUUCAUUCAUUGUCUUGGAUGCACCAACAUGCAACUUUGCAAACUCUUUCAGCCUCUUCAAGUCUAAAAUCACCAUGUAACUUUGGGUCAACUAAACUUUGCACAUCUCCCUCAUGAAGCUUGGUAAUAGCAUGUACAGGGAAAUAAGAAACAUGAUUACUAUUGGC